GUGCUCACUUAGGCAGCACAUAUACUAAAACUGGAACAAUACAGAGAAGAUUAGCAUGGUCCCUGAGCAGGGAUGACAUGCAAAUUUGUCAAGUAUUCCAUAUUUAA
ensembl:snRNA U6 U6 spliceosomal RNA